rnacentral:misc_RNA from 1 species
GGCAAAUUAAAUAUCUAUAAUGGAAAACUAAAACAGAAACUAACCUAGACGGAUCUGUGAAGAUCCGUCUUGAAUGAGCCAAAGCUUUAAAACUCCCGGUACAAGUGAGGAUGGCGUCAAGCUGCUGGCCGGAAUCAUUGUUGUACGUCCUUGCUGCUGUUCGUCCGGCGUUCCGCCAUAGCUGCUGGUCGGAGUGGCUGCUGGCUGGCGUUGUCGGAGCUGCUGUCACUGUUGUUGGACUGCUUCCCUGCAAGAAGAAAAAAGGAAAAGAGGACGAAGGAGAAGAGGAGACGAGAAGAGGGGAGAAGUGGAGAAUGACGGGAGAGGGAGGAAGGAGCGGCGCCGCCUGCUGCUGCUCGCCAUGGCUGCUGGUUUCGCCGGCGGUCGCUGCUGCUGGAGAAGCUGCUGCUGCUCCUGGUUUCGCCGGCGGUCGCUGCUGCUGGAGAAGCUGCUGCUGCUC